rnacentral:rRNA from 1 species
GACGAACGCUGGCGGCGUGCCUAAUACAUGCAAGUCGAACGAACCGCGACUAAGUGCUUGCACUAAGUCAAGGUGAGUGGCGAACGGGUGAGUAACUCGUGGGUAACCUACCUCAUAGUGGGGGAUAACAGUCGGAAACGACUGCUAAUACCGCAUAGGACAUAGGAUCACAUGAUCCAGUGAGGAAAGGUGGCGCAAGCUAUCGCUAAGAGAUGGACCCGCGGUGCAUUAGCUAGUUGGUAGGGUAAAGGCCUACCAAGGCGAUGAUGCAUAGCCGACCUGAGAGGGUGAUCGGCCACAUUGGGACUGAGACACGGCCCAAACUCCUACGGGAGGCAGCAGUAGGGAAUCUUCCGCAAUGGACGCAAGUCUGACGGAGCAACGCCGCGUGAGUGAAGAAGGUCUUCGGAUCGUAAAGCUCUGCUGUUAGAGAAGAACAGCGCAUAGAGUAACUGCUAUGCGUGUGACGGUAUCUAACCAGAAAGCCACGGCUAACUACGUG